rnacentral:rRNA from 1 species
UGGCGGCGUGCCUAAUACAUGCAAGUCGAGCGGACAGAUGGGAGCUUGCUCCCUGAUGUUAGCGGCGGACGGGUGAGUAACACGUGGGUAACCUGCCUGUAAGACUGGGAUAACUCCGGGAAACCGGGGCUAAUACCGGAUGGUUGUCUGAACCGCAUGGUUCAGACAUAAAAGGUGGCUUCGGCUACCACUUACAGAUGGACCCGCGGCGCAUUAGCUAGUUGGUGAGGUAACGGCUCACCAAGGCGACGAUGCGUAGCCGACCUGAGAGGGUGAUCGGCCACACUGGGACUGAGACACGGCCCAGACUCCUACGGGAGGCAGCAGUAGGGAAUCUUCCGCAAUGGACGAAAGUCUGACGGAGCAACGCCGCGUGAGUGAUGAAGGUUUUCGGAUCGUAAAGCUCUGUUGUUAGGGAAGAACAAGUGCCGUUCAAAUAGGGCGGCACCUUGACGGUACCUAACCAGAAAGCCACGGCUAACUACGUGCCAGCAGCCGGGUUAAAUA